GUUGACCUCGGAUCAGGUAGGACUACCCGCUGAAUUUAAAGCAUAU
rnacentral:rRNA from 1 species